GGGUUGUGAGGUUAAGCGACUAAGCGUACACGGUGGAUGCCUAGGCAGUCAGAGGCGAUGAAGGGCGUGCUAAUCUGCGAAAAGCGUCGGCAAGGUGAUAUGAACCGUUAUACCCGACGAUACCCGAAUGGGGAAACCCAGUGUGAUUCGUCACACUAUCAUUAACUGAAUCCAUAGGUUAAUGAGGCGAACCGGGGGAACUGAAACAUCUCAGUACCCCGAGGAAAAGAAAUCAACCGAGAUUCCCCCAGUAGCGGCGAGCGAACGGGGAGGAGCCCAGAACCUGAAUCGGCUUGUGUGUCAGUGGAAGCGUCUGGAAAGGCGCACGAUACAGGGUGACAGUCCCGUACACGAAGAUGCACAGGUCGUGAGUUCGACGAGUAGGGCGGGACACGUGGUAUCCUGUCUGAACAUGGGGGGACCAUCCUCCAAGGCUAAAUACUCCUGACUGACCGAUAGUGAACCAGUACCGUGAGGGAAAGGCGAAAAGAACCCCGGCGAGGGGAGUGAAAUAGAACCUGAAACCGUGUACGUACAAGCAGUGGGAGCACCUUUUAGGUGUGACUGCGUACCUUUUGUAUAAUGGGUCAGCGACUUAUAUUCUGUAGCAAGGUUAACCGAAUAGGGGAGCCGCAGGGAAACCGAGUCUUAACUGGGCGUCUAGUUGCAGGGUAUAGACCCGAAACCCGGUGAUCUAGCCAUGGGCAGGUUGAAGGUUGGGUAACACUAACUGGAGGACCGAACCGACUAAUGUUGAAAAAUUAGCGGAUGACUUGUGGCUGGGGGUGAAAGGCCAAUCAAACCGGGAGAUAGCUGGUUCUCCCCGAAAGCUAUUUAGGUAGCGCCUCGUGAACUCAUCUUCGGGGGUAGAGCACUGUUUCGGCUAGGGGGCCAUCCCGGCUUACCAACCCGAUGCAAACUGCGAAUACCGAAGAAUGUUAUCACGGGAGACACACGGCGGGUGCUAACGUCCGUCGUGAAGAGGGAAACAACCCAGACCGCCAGCUAAGGUCCCAAAGUCAUGGUUAAGUGGGAAACGAUGUGGGAAGGCCCAGACAGCCAGGAUGUUGGCUUAGAAGCAGCCAUCAUUUAAAGAAAGCGUAAUAGCUCACUGGUCGAGUCGGCCUGCGCGGAAGAUGUAACGGGGCUAAAACCAUGCACCGAAGCUGCGGCAGCGACGCUUAGGCGUUGUUGGGUAGGGGAGCGUUCUGUAAGCCUGUGAAGGUGGCCUGUGAGGGCUGCUGGAGGUAUCAGAAGUGCGAAUGCUGACAUAAGUAACGAUAAUGCGGGUGAAAAACCCGCACGCCGGAAGACCAAGGGUUCCUGUCCAACGUUAAUCGGGGCAGGGUGAGUCGACCCCUAAGGCGAGGCUGAAAAGCGUAGUCGAUGGGAAACAGGUUAAUAUUCCUGUACUUGGUGUUACUGCGAAGGGGGGACGGAGAAGGCUAUGUCAUCCGGGCGACGGUUGUCCCGGUUUAAGCGUGCAGGUGGGUGGACCAGGCAAAUCCGGUCUGCUGUCAACACUGAGGCGUGAUGACGAGGCACUACGGUGCUGAAGUGACAGAUGCCCUGCUUCCAGGAAAAGCCUCUAAGCAUCAGGUAACAUUGAAUCGUACCCCAAACCGACACAGGUGGUCAGGUAGAGAAUACUCAGGCGCUUGAGAGAACUCGGGUGAAGGAACUAGGCAAAAUGGUGCCGUAACUUCGGGAGAAGGCACGCUCCUGGUGGUGAAGUCCCUUGCGGAUGGAGCUGACGGGAGUCGCAGAUACCAGCUGGCUGCAACUGUUUAAUAAAAACACAGCACUGUGCAAACACGAAAGUGGACGUAUACGGUGUGACGCCUGCCCGGUGCCGGAAGGUUAAUUGAUGGGGUUAUCCGUAAGGAGAAGCUCUUGAUCGAAGCCCCGGUAAACGGCGGCCGUAACUAUAACGGUCCUAAGGUAGCGAAAUUCCUUGUCGGGUAAGUUCCGACCUGCACGAAUGGCGUAAUGAUGGCCAGGCUGUCUCCACCCGAGACUCAGUGAAAUUGAACUCGCUGUGAAGAUGCAGUGUACCCGCGGCAAGACGGAAAGACCCCGUGAACCUUUACUAUAGCUUGACACUGAACCUUGAGCCUUGAUGUGUAGGAUAGGUGGGAGGCUUUGAAGUGUGGACGCCAGUCUGCAUGGAGCCGACCUUGAAAUACCACCCUUUAAUGUUUGAUGUUCUAACCUGGGCCCGUAAUCCGGGCUGGGGACAGUGUCUGGUGGGUAGUUUGACUGGGGCGGUCUCCUCCCAAAGAGUAACGGAGGAGCACGAAGGUUAGCUAAUCCUGGUCGGACAUCAGGAGGUUAGUGCAAAGGCAUAAGCUAGCUUGACUGCGAGAGUGACGGCUCGAGCAGGUGCGAAAGCAGGUCUUAGUGAUCCGGUGGUUCUGAAUGGAAGGGCCAUCGCUCAACGGAUAAAAGGUACUCCGGGGAUAACAGGCUGAUACCGCCCAAGAGUUCAUAUCGACGGCGGUGUUUGGCACCUCGAUGUCGGCUCAUCACAUCCUGGGGCUGAAGUAGGUCCCAAGGGUAUGGCUGUUCGCCAUUUAAAGUGGUACGCGAGCUGGGUUUAGAACGUCGUGAGACAGUUCGGUCCCUAUCUGCCGUGGGCGUUGGAAGAUUGAGGGGGGUUGCUCCUAGUACGAGAGGACCGGAGUGAACGCACCGCUGGUGUUCGGGUUGUCAUGCCAAUGGCACUGCCCGGUAGCUACGUGCGGAAGAGAUAACCGCUGAAAGCAUCUAAGCGGGAAACUUGCCCCGAGAUGAGUCUUCCCUGGGAACUUGAUUCCCCUGAAGGGACGUUCGAGACGAGGACGUUGAUAGGCUGGGUGUGUAAGCGUAGUGAUACGUUGAGCUAACCAGUACUAAUGACCCGAGAGGCUUAACCUUACAACACCGAAGGUGUUU
rnacentral:rRNA from 1 species